rnacentral:rRNA from 1 species
GUGGCAGAGAUGUCAUGUCCGCAAGGGCGCUAUACAGGUGGUGCAUGGUUGUCGUCAGCUCGUGUCGUGAGAUGUUGGGUUAAGUCCCGCAACGAGCGCAACCCUCGUUCUGUGUUACCAGCAUUUAGUUGGGGACUCACAGGAGACUGCCGGGGUCAACUCGGAGGAAGGUGGGGAUGACGUCAAAUCAUCAUGCCCCUUAUGUCUUGGGCUGCACGCAUGCUACAAUGGCCGGUACAAAGUGCUGCGAGAUCGCAAGAUUGAGCGAAUCACAUAAAGCCGGUCUCAGUUCGGAUUGAGGUCUGCAACUCGACCUCAUGAAGUCGGAGUUGCUAGUAAUCGUAGAUCAACAACGCUACGG